GAUGAACGCUAGCGGGAGGCUUAACACAUGCAAGUCGAGGGGCAGCAUAGGGUAGCAAUACUCUGAUGGCGACCGGCAAACGGGUGAGUAACGCGUAUGCAACCUACCCUGUACAGGGGGAUAACCCGGAGAAAUUCGGACUAAUAUCCCGUAAUAAUAUCCGGAGGCAUCUUUGGAUAUUUAAAGUUCCGACGGUACGGGAUGGGCAUGCGUAACAUUAGCUGGUUGGUAAGGUAACGGCUUACCAAGGCUAUGAUGUUUAGGGGUCCUGAGAGGGUGGUCCCCCACACUGGUACUGAGACACGGACCAGACUCCUACGGGAGGCAGCAGUGAGGAAUAUUGGUCAAUGGGCGCAAGCCUGAACCAGCCAUCCCGCGUGCAGGAAGACGGCCCUAUGGGUUGUAAACUGCUUUUCCAGGGAGAGAAACUUACGCACGUGUUGCGUGACUGACGGUACCCUGGGAAUAAGCAUCGGCUAACUCCGUGCCAGCAGCCGCGGUAAAACGUGCGUG
rnacentral:rRNA from 1 species